GUGCUGAAAAAAUACGGCUCGUGAGGCAGACAGAGCACUGCCGCAAGUCUGCUCAUCAAGAGGUCAGUGAAGCACGAGAAGCCAUUGGAGGGUUGCACACAUUGAUUGCAUACAACUAGGCAGGGGAUUUUCUUGGCUGCCUUGGACUCGAGUUGUCGCUGCCACCGUCAAGUCUAGAUUAUGACUACUCACAAUGAUCCCAGUGUUAACUUUUUGGAAAAUACAAAUGGUGUUUCCCUAUACCUUCCGUCCUAUUUGAUGUUCUAAAUGUUAUGAAGCAAAUUUGGUUGAUUUGAGUUGCCUCGCUAAGGGGGUUUAUUCAUUUACAUAUAUUUAUUGUUCCAUGUCUUAAGUUAACAAGAACUCAAGAAGUCACCCUCCGGUAGCACCACCUGUAAGUAUCCUAUCUAUAUCUUUAAAUCUAUUUUUGUUAAAGAACGUGUUAUAUACAUAGGACAUUACAAAUUCUCUUGCUUCUUUCCUGAAAAGGUACUGACGUCACUAUUUUCUUUUAUGCUUCUGGUGUACAACUACACACAUAGAGAGCUAACUUGGUAAAUAAAAUGCAGGGAAGCUGGUAAUUAAGCAAAUUAAUUCGAGCUAUUUCAAAGUGAUGCGUUACUUGCUGCAGUCUAAUUUGGAAUAUUUUUCUAAUUUGCAUUUUCCUACUGAAGAUUACUUCCCACGCACGCAACUAUUUGAAGGUAUAUCCGUAUUUAUGUUUCUUACGUAAGUCAUAUACAUGUUUAUACUGUUGGCUCAAUCCCUUUACUUCCCACGCACGCGUGCGGGGAGUUUACACGUCGAGGAAAGGUCUGGUUGAACCAUCACGACGACGGCAGAUCCCCCUUUACGUAACUUGCACUGGUGCAUCCACCGACAACAGCCAACAUUGGUGGCUCCAAAGAGAAAUCCCUUCCUGUGGCGGCGACGACGACGACGACGACGGCGUCAGUCUGUUCACUGUUGCGCACCUCUGACUCCUUGCAUUCCCCUAUUCCAUUAGUAUUUCCCCUCCUCUCUCUUCAAUACCGUUGAUUGAUUAGUUCUUAAUGCACUACACCUCAUUGCUUCCGUCGGUAACUGACCCACAUGUAGGCCCGAACUCCAGAAACUUCAAAUGAUGAUGCUUUCAUAUCCAUCCCUCACGUACCAUAUAGAUCUCCACAUUGCUGGUCACUUUGGAUGGUGCGUUAAGCCCUUGCUAUUGCAAAUCAGGUCCACCUAGCCCUAGCUACAGUUCAACAAGUUGAAUAUCUAUAUAUGCUGCAGGAAAAGGUAUGUGCUGAAGAAAAUACGGCUCGCGAGGCAGGCAGAGUGCUGCCGCAAGUCUGCUCAUCAAGAGAUGGUCCUAAUUGCUCGCCUUCAACAUCCUUACACGGUCGAAUUCAAGGAGGCAUGGGUUGAGAAGGUUUGUUCUCUAGGAGCAUGCAUCAUCAUAUUAUUAUGAAUAUACUGUUGUUAU